UAUCUUCAGGGCAGGGUGAAUUUCCCGACCGGCGGUAAAGUCCGCGAGCCAAAAGGCAUGAUCCGGUGCGAUUCCGGGACCGACAGUAUAGUCUGGAUGGAAGAAGAUG
rnacentral:ncRNA from 1 species